CAGCCGCCACGGGAAUACGGAGGGUGCAAGCGUUGUCCGGAUUUAUUGGGCGUAAAGCGAGCGCAGGCGGUUUCUUAAGUCUGAUGUGAAAGCCCCCGGCUCAACCGGGGAGGGUCAUUGGAAACUGGGAGACUUGAGUGCAGAAGAGGAGAGUGGAAUUCCAUGUGUAGCGGUGAAAUGCGUAGAUAUAUGGAGGAACACCAGUGGCGAAGGCGGCUCUCUGGUCUGUAACUGACGCUGAGGCUCGAAAGCGUGGGGAGCGAACAGGAUUAGAUACUCCAGUAGUCCCUGUCUCUUAUAC
rnacentral:rRNA from 1 species